AAAAACCAAUAGUCGUAACAACCGGUGA
rnacentral:sRNA from 1 species